rnacentral:lncRNA from 1 species
GUCAGCCUUAACAGUACCUGCUAAUUGAUUGAUACCUUUAGUUAGAGUCAGCAUUUUGAGCCACAGUCAUGGCCAACUGAGUGUUUUCCAGAUUGCACCUUUAAUCAGGUCGUUGUAUCUGCGUAGUUUUCUCAUGUUGCUGCUGCUGCCUUUGUGUGUGCAUCAUCCUUUUUUGUCCCUUCUUCUUCUGAUUUGUUCUUACUGUGCCCCUUCAUACCAGGGGA